CCUACGGGUGGCUGCAGUGGGGAAUAUUGGACAAUGGGCGAAAGCCUGAUCCAGCCAUGCCGCGUGUGUGAAGAAGGCCUUCGGGUUGUAAAGCACUUUCAGUGGGGAAGAAAGCCUUGGGGCUAAUACCCUCGAGGAAGGACAUCACCCACAGAAGAAGCACCGGCUAACUCCGUGCCAGCAGCCGCGGUAAUACGGAGGGUGCGAGCGUUAAUCGGAAUUACUGGGCGUAAAGCGCGCGUAGGCGGUCUGAUAAGCCGGUUGUGAAAGCCCCGGGCUCAACCUGGGAACGGCAUCCGGAACUGUCAGGCUGGAGUGCAGGGGAGGAAGGUAGAAUUCCCGGUGUAGCGGUGAAAUGCGUAGAGAUCGGGAGGAAUACCAGUGGCGAAGGCGGCCUUCUGGACUGACACUGACGCUGAGGUGCGAAAGCGUGGGUAGCAAACAGGAUUAGAUACCCCUGUAGUC
rnacentral:rRNA from 1 species